rnacentral:rRNA from 1 species
AGAGCGAACGCUGGCGGCAGGCUUAACACAUGCAAGUCGAGCGGGCGUAGCAAUACGUCAGCGGCAGACGGGUGAGUAACGCGUGGGAACAUACCUUUUGGUUCGGAACAACCCAGGGAAACUUGGGCUAAUACCGGAUAAGCCCUUACGGGGAAAGAUUUAUCGCCGAAAGAUUGGCCCGCGUCUGAUUAGCUAGUUGGUGAGGUAACGGCUCACCAAGGCGACGAUCAGUAGCUGGUCUGAGAGGAUGAUCAGCCACAUUGGGACUGAGACACGGCCCAAACUCCUACGGGAGGCAGCAGUGGGGAAUAUUGGACAAUGGGCGCAAGCCUGAUCCAGCCAUGCCGCGUGAGUGAUGAAGGCCCUAGGGUUGUAAAGCUCUUUUGUGCGGGAAGAUAAUGACGGUACCGCAAGAAUAAGCCCCGGCUAACUUCGUCGCCAGCAGCCGC